CUUUAAUGUUUUUUGGUACUGAAGAAGAACAUUUCCAGAGCUGAUAUCCAUCAGAAAUAAGUGGUUUGAAGUGAUCGGUCUCUGUCAUGUUUCUGGACGGGCUGACUCAGCUGCUUCAGUGAAGAGUAAGCAGCUUCAGGAAGGAGAGAGGACCGUCCUCUCUGUCUCCGUCUGUGCAUCUGAAGAUCCAGAGCAGACUCUGCAGUUAUUUGCUGAUAAUUGCAGGGGUUGGAAGGAACCUCAAGAGAUCAUCAAGUCCAACUCCCCUGCUAAAGCAGUUCCCUACAGUAGGUCGCACAGGUGCGUGUCAGAGCCCAAAGAGGGCUGCUGCAGGAUAGGUGAAGUACUCAUCCUCCAUCGCGUGGAACUGCCAGGGAGGGAGCUGGGAUCCGUGUGUAGCCAGAUUCCCCACAGCUGU
ensembl:lncRNA